GAGCGUGCCUAGAGGAUGUAUUCUUGUGUCUCGUUCUUCCUCUCUGUUUCCUGGUCACCAUGGUAUGAGCUACUUCCAUGAGGUCUGAUUUGAGCUGGCUGAUUAUAGAUUGAACCCAUUCAAACUGUGAGCCAUAAAAGACAUCAAGCAUGCAAAGCAUGGGUUCUACCCCUGAGCUACACAGCCCUCAGCUCUUACAUCACAAAUGUUGAGAAGCUUCCCAAGAGACAUCAUCACCAUUAAGUAAAGGGCCUUUUUCAUGGCUGUUCCUGAAUGAAAAGAAGGGAAGCUAGUAACCCUGGAAUCACUGCAAUCUGCUUCUACUACUGAUCUUGAGAACUUGGUAUGUUCAUACUAAGGAUGCAUGAAUAUUAAAAUCAAGAUCUAAAUAGCAAAAACAAAAAAAUUGAUUCAAUGAAUUGCCAGACUACACAGUUAUGAACAUGUGCCCUAUGCUAAUGUGGGAAUUGCUAUGAUUACGGAGGUGUAAGUAAAUUGCAGGUUUUAAAAAUUAUAAAUUACUUUUGCUGAGAAAUGCAAAAAUUAUUUCAGGGUUAUAUUUUUAUCUCAUUUAUACAUUUUUUUGAGAGCUGUAACUUACUUUGGGAUUAUGUUUUUGUUUUGCUUAACAGACAGACAUAGCAUUUUUGCAAUGGCAACCACUAAUGUUUCUGUAAGGGUUAGUAUUCAGGAUUGUAGUUCUGUGUAUGCUGAUUGUACAUGUCAGUUAAUCUCACAGAGAAAUGUGGAGUACCAAGUAAAUCUUUCUGAAUCAUGUGUUUUAUGCUAGUGAACAAUUUUGCAAUAAAUUUACAGAGAAUAAGUUGAAAAAGUUUAAAAAUAUUACUUCUUUCAAAGAAUAUUGAAAAUCAAAUCCUAUAUUCAUCAGGAUGAAAUUUCAUGAUAGCUUUUAGUUUUCUAUAAAAUAUCCUUG